CUGUUACCACGGGUGCAAUUUACGACAGCUUUCACCGACUGUGUGCCUACUCCCUCCAACCUCUUCAAUCUCUGGUCGCUCACAGCUAGCCAAGUGGGGGUCAACGGACUAACAGAGAUGGGGAGGUUCUGGAACUCGUCAUGACACGCUAAUGGACAGUAUCUGGCGAACAGCAGACUGCGAAUACAACUAGAACGACGAGGGGAAUCGAUUGGUUCUUUCGAACCCCUUUAGCAUUCCUACAAUGUGAGCAAGGAACUUUUCAUAACCUCGCCAUCACCAGAACCAUGGGGGGACGAAUAACUUCAGUCAGCACGACAACGACUACAAGUAGUCUCCCCAAUUCCCUUCUCAAGGAACAAAAGCCAACACACGUCUCUACAAGCACGGCAACUAGCGGUAGCUAGCUUCAGUACAGUAGUGCAUCUUUCCUCCGAGACAGGGCUAAAACACGCCAUAUCCACUUUCUGGAGGACUUACUUAUACUGCUGUAAUCGCCCGGCCAAAGGGAUGCAAUGGUAUCAUCAGAUUUUUUGUACCUUCCCCACAGCGUGAAAAACUCAGCAGUGUCUUCCACGCCGAAUUCACAGCUUCCAUAUAGCAUAGUUAACCUCAAUGGUCACACUACCCCUUCUCACUA
rnacentral:misc_RNA from 1 species